CACGUAGGGGGCGAGCGUUGUCCGGAUUUAUUGGGCGUAAAGAGCUCGUAGGCGGUUUCGUAAGUCGGAUGUGAAAACUCCAGGCUCAACUUGGAGACGCCAUUCGAUACUGCGAUGACUUGAGUCCGGUAGGGGAGUGUGGAAUUCCUGGUGUAGCGGUGAAAUGCGCAGAUAUCAGGAGGAACACCGGUGGCGAAGGCGGAUCUCUGGGCCGAUACUGACGCUGAGGAGCGAAAGCGUGGGGAGCGAACAGG
rnacentral:rRNA from 1 species